GGCGCGUCAAGUUCAAGUUCUUUGCAGUGUUUGGCUCAUGUUGACACAGCUGACGCGUAGCUAAAAAUGAGCGAAAAACAACUGCAACAUGGCUGCCAAAAAGUUGUCCAAACUUUCGCAAAGAGCAAAAGUCUGUGCCAGAGCUAGCCCCGCAGGAGCAGCUCUUAAAUCCUCACGUCUGCUUAACUUGGGAUACAUUUCUUGGGCAGAUGUAAGUAAAGGCUUUAAUUUAGUUUUUUGGGAUUAUAAAUAAACGGCUCAAGUUUUGAUCAUAAUUGCACGAAAGAUGGUGAGCUUUUUGGGUACUCCAUCAGUUUAUUUAUAGACCUCUGUAGUUGUUCCAUAGCAAUUCCAUUUAUUUAUUCAACUCCAAACUGAUCCUAGUGUGACUUUCCCCACUUUGCCUUUUUCUUGAGCGCUGCUGCUGCGUGCUUGAUGGCCUUUUUGGUGUGCUUUCUUUUGUUUUUUGCUGCCUUUGUGGUAGUUCUGAGUGUGGAUGGUGCCACUGUGGUGGUUGUUGUCGUUGUGCUGGUGCUGAGUGCAUCAAUCAGCAGCUGAUCGUAGGCCUUGCCCUGGAAGCUCAUGAGCGGCACAUCAAUGGCACGCCGCCAGCGACUUAAAUUCCUUGACGGCAACGUUGUUUUACUUUUAAUCUCGCUGAUUGCUUCUGGCGCAGAGGCAAACAAAUCUGCGUUAUAGAUGACUUGUGAUCCGGUACGUUGCGCCACUCUGUCCUGACAGGAGAGGGCUAUGAUGGCCAACAAGCUGAGAAUUGUUAAAGAUUUCAUGGCUGCUGUCUGCUGGCUGCUCUCUGCUGC
rnacentral:lncRNA from 1 species